UGGAAAGAGAAAAAUUCAGAGCUGUGAUGCAGUGAAUGUGAGGAUACUGUUUUUGUGAUUUAAUUCAUCAUUGGUACUUCGCGUGUGCAAAUUACCUUGGUAUCUUUACAAAAUUAUCUUAUAGUAUUUGAUACUUUUACUGUUUGGUACUUAGAAACUUGAAGUCUCAUUACUAGCCUAGUCAAACAAUGUAUUUGUAUAGUCCUCAGUAGUAUUCAUACAGUCUUCAGUUUUAUCUGUGUAUCAGUAUACUCACUGCGUGCUACAAGUUGAGAAGUGCUUCAAAUUAAAAAUGUGUAAUAAGCUAAAUAACUAGUUCAAAUAGUGAAAAACUGUCUAUUUAUAGGCUAGGAAUACAGUGUUUCAAGUGUGGGGCAUAUCUAUUGAUUGGAAGGAUUAUUCUGGAUACUGUACAAAUUCGUGUUUUAAAUGGACUCACCACUUCAGCCGGUUGGGAUUAGAAGACCGGACAAGAGCCGAUUAAUCCAGGAACUAUUCCUGGGUAGGCCUACCCAACCGUUACUCAACUGAGGACUGAAUGAGAUCUAGGAAGGAGGUGGUUGAGCUCGCAGCACCAAAUAUUUGAAUAUUUCAAGGACUGAAAAAAGCUUCACUAAAAAUCAAAUGGCUCUGAAAAACGAUUUGACGACCUUCCAACUUUUCUGGACAGUUGGGAACUGCGACUUGAGACACUAUCAGAGAGUAACUCGGGACUUGGUGGUAUAGUUGGUAUUAUUCAUCAAAUAACCUACUGGCCUGCUAAGUCCCAAGUCGCUCUUUGACACAACCAACGGAGAACGCAAGUGCAAGCACAAUAUGAUCAAGCAAAGGAGGAACAGCAACACAAGAUUCCAACUAUACAAACAUAUAGACUAGAUUUAAUAGUUUUCUAAGGUUUUUUUUCAUUACCUAAUAUUAUACUUGAAUAUUGUGAAUAGUAUAUGCUAUAUACUGGUCAGCAUAAGACACAAAACGUCACUGUAACCUGUAGAUAGGCCUACUCUGAUAAGCAUUGAUUGUACAGUAACAAUCUUUAAACUAAAAUACUACUUUUAUUCAUUAGAAAGAGUCAAAGCUAUCUUUCUUAGUCUUUCAUAAUCCAAUAGAAAUAA